UUUCAUAAAGUCUAAUGAAUAUGCCAGU
rnacentral:sRNA from 1 species